rnacentral:misc_RNA from 1 species
GCGAGGUCACGCAAAUCUUGUCGUGGGACACAGCGCCGAGCACGAUGGUGCAGGCCGACGCGCACAGGCCAUCGAUCACAACGGUCUCACCGGAGCCUUUGAGGCUUUGAUACUUGUCGACAUAGGUCCCGAUCCGGCCGCCACGGUCUUCAGCAAUCCGAACCACAGCGUGACUUGCGCCCACUCCGCCAAGGAGAAGCACCGCCGUCAGAAACCCCGUCACAAUCUUCAUUGCCGGCCCCGUCGCCCCCUGCCUGUAUCGAUCGGGGCAACAUCAGCGUGUUGCGAGUCUGGAAUUUUGUCCAGAUCGCACAGCUGNACGGAUUCUAUUGCAGUGUUGCUGGCUUGCUGCACCUGCACUGGCCGAUCCCGAAUUGGAA